UCUCAGGAAUGGAUUCAUGCCACAGUAGU
rnacentral:piRNA from 1 species